UGGAUGGAUGGAUGGAUGGAUGGAUGGAUGGAUGAAAGAUGGAUGGAUGGAUGGAUGGUGGUGCGUUCGCUGCUGCUGGGAGACGUCAGGAAGUUGUUCUUCAGAUGCAGCAGAUCAUGGAGCAGAUCUCUGACCAUCAUGGUCACAGAAACACCUUCCAGGAGGUCUGAGGUCCACCUCCUCUCAGCGGGGAGGUCCACCUCCUCUCAGCGGGGAGGUCCACCUCCUCUCAGCGGGGAGCAGGAGGUCUGAGGACCUCCAGGGCGCUGAUGUCAUCACUCCUUGCUUUCCUCAUAGACGUUUUCUUCAGAGCCAAAUGAGGCGUUUCUAUCGGCAGCGACUGAACCUGAGCAGGAAGAACCUCCUUCAGCUUCUGAUUGGCUCCACGUCUUCAGCAGCGUUCCCAUGGAAACGCAUAGAAAACUGGCUAAACAUAAACACAUCAUUCUGACUUUUAGAGUCUAUUUAAGGUCAUUAUCAGAUGCAGUUAUAAACCAAAACUUUACUUUAUGACUUUAAAAAUCUGUUCAGAUCCAAAUCAUCACUUUAUUCUCAUAAUUCAAGCUUUCAGUCAUUUUACUGACUUCAUAAUUAUCAUCAACAUGUGACUUUUGCUUUUCUCUGGAGUGACACAUCUGGGCUUCCAUAGUUUUCCUGACCUGCUGACGGUCAGUGUUAGGAAGGGGGGGUGGGUCAUGGCAGACCUUUAUUUUGAAGUUUCCUGUAGCGUGAGGCGGGCUGUCGAUGUUAGAUCACCAAAUGUGCACUUUUUCACGUUGAUUGUUCUGUUUCAUCACCGCCUCACAGCACAACCCUGACUGGCCACUGCUGCGAUGAUGUAACAGCUGCUGCUACUCCUGAUUGGUCCUCAGCAAACCAGCUCAAUAGGCAAUGAAAAACCAAACAUGUGCUGUUUUUAUUUCCGUGGUGCUGCAGACCAACAUCUGGUUCUUCUUUUAUAUUUGUCACAGAUCAAAGCUCUCGUUUGUUUCUCAUCUUUUCUGCUUCGUUCUGUUAUUUCAAUAAACCGACUUCAUGAACUGUU